GUUUUAAAACUUGUUAUUUUUAAUUCGCGCACCAUUCUAUUAUCGAUGUACCAAAAUAACCCAAAAGGCAGUGAUCUCGUGUUAAUUGUCGAGCUCAAAGACAAAAAUUACGCACUCAAUCUUUCCGGCCAAUUCGAGAUUCCAGCGACGAGGUGCUUCAAUGACCAACUAAUGACUUCGCCAUUUUGCGACAAUUGAUGUAUUCGAGGUAUGACCCGAGGUGGUUGGAGGUGGUCGGAAGUGUUUAAGGGAGGUUGCGGGGGAUCGAGGUGGAUGAGGAGAAGAACGGAAAGGAGGAGGAGGAGAUAGAUGAGGAGAAAAAAGUGGACGAGGAGGACGAGG